rnacentral:rRNA from 1 species
CAGUAGCCGCGGUAAUACGGAGGGUGCAAGCGUUAAUCGGAAUUACUGGGCGUAAAGCGCACGCAGGCGGUUUGUUAAGUCAGAUGUGAAAUCCCCGAGCUUAACUUGGGAACUGCAUUUGAAACUGGCAAGCUAGAGUCUUGUAGAGGGGGGUAGAAUUCCAGGUGUAGCGGUGAAAUGCGUAGAGAUCUGGAGGAACAUCAGUGGCGAAGGCGGCCAUCUGGGACAACACUGACGCUGAGGCACGAAAGCGUGGGGAGCAAACAGGAUUAGAUACCCCGGUAGUCCCUGUCUCUUAUAC